CCCCAGGCCCAGGCCGGCUCCUCUGUCCAGGCCCAGGCCGGCUCCUCUGUCCAGGCUCCCUUGGUGCUGCCGGGGCACCCACUCACACCAGAGCUGGGCACAGGACCUCACAGAGUGCUGCUUGAGGAACUGAGGGGAGGGGGUAUCACAGGACCCAUGACUCCCACCAGGCCCUGCGGAGCUGGUGCAGAGAGGAAGUGGGGGCAGGGUUGGACACAGUCACAUUCGUCAGACACAGUCACAUUCGUCAGGGUGAUGGGGGCGCUCUCAGUGUUGCAUACUAAUUCCAUUUUUAAUCAGGCAGAAUGAGACUCCAGUAUCAAUCAUCUGCCAGGCAGCCAGCUCUGAAUCGUGUU
rnacentral:lncRNA from 1 species